AGCGGCGGACGGGUGAGUAAUGCCUAGGAAAUUGCCCUGAUGUGGGGGAUAACCAUUGGAAACGAUGGCUAAUACCGCAUGAUGCCUACGGGCCAAAGAGGGGGACCUUCGGGCCUCUCGCGUCAGGAUAUGCCUAGGUGGGAUUAGCUAGUUGGUGAGGUAAGGGCUCACCAAGGCGACGAUCCCUAGCUGGUCUGAGAGGAUGAUCAGCCACACUGGAACUGAGACACGGUCCAGACUCCUACGGGAGGCAGCAGUGGGGAAUAUUGCACAAUGGGCGCAAGCCUGAUGCAGCCAUGCCGCGUGUAUGAAGAAGGCCUUCGGGUUGUAAAGUACUUUCAGUAGGGAGGAAGGUUCAUACGUUAAUAGCGUAUGGAUUUGACGUUACCUACAGAAGAAGCACCGGCUAACUCCGUGCCAGCAGCCGCGGUAAUACGGAGGGUGCGAGCGU
rnacentral:rRNA from 1 species